CUUUAAUGUUACCUACAUUUCUGUGAAAAAUAUUUUUAGUACUUACCAGAAUUGUUUGCACUAUAAUGGAUUAUCUUUUUCCAUUUAAAAACACUAAAACAUUCUGUUUGUCUCAUUUGCAGUGCAAUUUGGAAAAUGCAGGAAGGAUAUUGCAACGUUCUCACAUGUGUCCUGUACUCAUUUUCCUGCAGAGUAUUGGAAAUCUGUUUCAAAAUCUGUUGCUUUGGCUGACCUUUGGGAAGGCUCCAUUGGUGUGUUCUGGAUUUUUCCAUAAACCUGAAAUUAAAAACAUCCUUUCCUUUUCUCUGCUGAAGAGUCACAACCACAAGCAAUCUAUCACGUCUCCAAUUUGUCCCUUAUAAUUCUUUCUUAUCCCUCACAAAAGAUGCAUUUCCAACAAGAAGUUCAAGCUCCAUUUCUCCCAGUUUCCAAUUUGGAUAGCAGAAAAAAAACUCGCCCCUCUUCCAAAUACUUAGUUUGCAUUUUUUCCUUCAAAUUCUGUUUUGAAAGUGAUUUCAGUGAAAAUUAGAUCUUUCUACUCCCUGCCAUCUCAGGCGCUUAUUGUUUUUUUUUGUUUUGUUUUUUGUUUUUUUCCUUAAAGCUGUUUUUGAACUGGAGGGAAGAGAGCUGGGGGGAACAGGCUGUGCUGUGUCUGAGCCCAUCAUCUCACUCCCUCACACUUAGUUCACCUGUUUCAAGAUUCAAAGUCAUGACUCAAUUUGCUGUUCACUGGAGACAAAGAAAUGACGCAUGCACAGAGUGAAAAAAACAAACAGGAUCAAACAGUAUGCCCAGAAACAUUGCAUAACAGUUUUUUCUUUAAACAAGGUCUUGUAACUCCACAUUCAGCCCUGUACUGUACUACAGGCUGAACAUGCUAAUGGUAAAGACAGCUAUUUUCAUCCCACGUUUUUAUCUGAAUCAUGAACACUCAUAGUCCUGACUGAGAUUUGUUACAUCAAGCACAACUUCCCAAAAGUAAAAAAUCAUCUUUCUACAGCUUUUCACAGACAGCAAUAAACCAGCAAUAUCAGGCUAUUACA
rnacentral:lncRNA from 1 species